rnacentral:rRNA from 1 species
GACAGAGGGUGCAAACGUUGUUCGGAAUUACUGGGCGUAAAGCGCGUGUAGGCGGCUCUGCAAGUCGGAUGUGAAAUCCCACGGCUCAACCAUGGAAGUGCAUUCGAAACUGCAGGGCUAGAGUCCUGGAGAGGAAGGUGGAAUGCUUGGUGUAGAGGUGAAAUUCGUAGAUAUCAGGCGGAACACCGGUGGCGAAGGCGGCCUUCUGGACAGUGACUGACGCUGAGACGCGAAAGCGUGGGGAGCAAACAGG